AAAAUAUUAAUUUAAAAUAAAAAUAUAAAUUUUCAAAAUUUAUUAUAAA
rnacentral:tRNA from 1 species